GAUGAACGCUAGCUACAGGCUUAACACAUGCAAGUCGAGUGGUAACGAGAGGAAAGCUUGCUUUCCUUGUCGACGACCGGCGCACGGGUGAGUAACACGUAUCCAACCUGCCCCCAACUAGGGAAUAACCUUGCGAAAGUAAGACUAAUACCCUAUAAUUUCCUCAGAUGUCAUCUGACGAGGAAUAAAGAUUUAUCGGUUGUGGAUGGGGAUGCGUCUGAUUAGCUUGUUGGCGGGGUAACGGCCCACCAAGGCAACGAUCAGUAGGGGUUUUGAGAGGAAGGUCCCCCACAUUGGAACUGAGACACGGUCCAAACUCCUACGGGAGGCAGCAGUGAGGAAUAUUGGUCAAUGGGCGGAAGCCUGAACCAGCCAAGUAGCGUGCAGGAUGACGGCCCUAUGGGUUGUAAACUGCUUUUAUACAGGAAUAAAGUUAGCCACGUGUGGUUAUUUGUAGGUACUGUAUGAAUAAGGACCGGCUAAUUCCGUGCCAGCCGCCGCAGUAA
rnacentral:rRNA from 1 species